AAACUUGUGUCCUAAAGUUUAAUGAUUAAAAAAUUCGUCUGAGUUAAUCAUUAAAAUAAUCAAUUUAUUUUUGCUUAUCAGUUUGAAACAGUUGAGAAUAAAGUAAAAUUGUAAGCAAUUGCUUAAUGAUAUUAAUCAUGGUAAGAUUAGAAAGAAAUAAAAAACAGUAUAUUGGUUGGAUGCUGUAUGAUACAUAUAUAUAUAUAUAUAUAUACACGUGAGGUUUGAAAAUAUAUGUAUUAAGUGAAAAACAAGAAUAUUUUAAAGCACGGUCUUAAAA
rnacentral:lncRNA from 1 species